CGGGGUGUAGCGCAGCCUGGUAGCGCAUCUGGUUUGGGACCAGAGGGUCGAAGGUUCGAAUCCUUUCGCCCCGA
rfam:Variovorax paradoxus strain TBEA6 VPARA_contig000014, whole genome shotgun sequence.